UUUUGGAAAUUUCCUACCGUAAAUAUAUCAAAACUUAAUUUUUGAUUAGUAAUAUGCAUUGCUAAGAACUUCAUUUGAACAACUUUAAAGAUGAUUUUCUCAAUAUUUAGAUUUUUUUGCUCCCUCAGAUUCCAGAUUUUCAAAUAUUGUCCUCCUAACAAACCACACAUCAAUGAAAACAUACAAUUUGUAAGUAAAACAUCACUACGAAGCCCUGGAGCACUUAAGUAGAUCAUACACACUCAUAAAUUCAGUUUUGCCACCAAUUCUUCAAAUCAGAGAAUACUUACAAGGUUCUGAAGUUGGACUUUGAGUCAGCUAUGGCACGCAGCAUUGGCAUUGCUAAACUCUAUUCCUUAAGGCCCAGGUAUACUUCACUUUCUGCCUUCUGUUCUGUCUCAUGCUUUCAAAGUACAGUCAAACGUGGAUGAGCGUGCAUGGAUGAGUUCUCAACAUUCACCUUGUGCCUGUGCUGUUGCAGACCAUCACGGAAUGAGAACGGCUGAAGUGUACUUGGGGUCUUAAACUAUUUAAUCCCACCAGUCACGUUAGUGACCGUAAAGAAGGUGUUCAUUUAUAAAGCUCUAAAAAUCUUACUCACUGAUGAUUUAGUGCAUUUUAUGCAAAUAUGGAAAAAUAAAGGGUCUCACUUAAAUAUGUGCAGUGUCACAUGGUUAGUGCAAACUGUCACAAGACCAGAGUAGUUUGCUUCCUGUUUGCACCAUGAGAAGAUAAUAAUUGCAUCAAAGCUCCAAAACAAAAGGCUAGUAAACUAUGUUAAAGAUAUGAAAAAGAUUUUUGGACAACAUUAUCUUUAACAAUUAUUUAGUUUUGAUGAGUGUGGGCAAAGAAUGAGUAAACGUGUUGAUGGUCACUAUUGUGACCGGUGGGAUAAUACAAAGCAUUUAGGUAUACACAUAAAUCCAAUAGCAGUUGUUUGUAAAGGUUGCACUAAAAUGUUGCAAUGACAAAAUAUUGCACUAAAUUAAAAGUUUAAAUGUUACAAAUAAGUUACAAUUUUUGUAACUGGUAUGUUGUAAUACUGGUAGCACUAAUAUAAUAAUUUUAUGAUACUGUAUGUGUUUGUAUUUUUUGUAUUUUUCCUAUCAGUGUUGUAAAAGGGUUUUUGCAUAAUAGUAACCCUAGAAUGUUAUGAAAGUUUAAAAUAGCUAGGCUGGAAUAUAUACAAAUUUUGAUAACUGCAGAAAUAUGUUACACAUUAUACACAUUAUCACAAUCGUGACUGGCCAUAAAACACAAUUUUUCACACACUUAUCUAAAGCAUUUCCACAAAAUAAUUAUUGAUUAUUUCAAAGGGCUGCUAAUGACACAUCAUCUGGAUAUUUUCAUGACUGGAAGAAAUUUGGGAUUAAACGGGUUAAUGUGCAAUUAGAUUUACCACUGUGCUGUGAAAUGUUGUGGAAUAUUUGAAAUUCCAUUAAUUUCAAUAAGAAUCUGUGCGAGUUCCCGAUGCAGAUUCAAGUUGGUCAUGCAAAUUUACUGUGAUCAACAGAAAGCUGCUUGGUUUGAAUGUGACUACUGUGCUUCACACAUCACUGUUUAUUGCCCAAGAAAUAUCACUAAUGUAACCGCAAGUUUAUCAGUCGUAUGAAAAUGUUAAUACUCAUUACAUUAUGUAUUACUCUCGCCACGGGCGAGAGCGCUUCAAGACAACGCAUUUUCACACACGCUGGCUUGUGCUAAACUUUCUGAACACUCGGUAAUUACAGGCGCAGGGUGUCUGAGGUGAUGUGACAGCCACUCAUCUGUCGCCUGCGCUUCAGUCAUGUCCUCAGCCCUCCGCGGACACAGAGACACAUC
ensembl:lncRNA